AGGGCACCGCCAGGAGUGGAGCCUGCGGCUUAAUUUGACUCAACACGGGAAAACUCACCCGGCCCGGACACUGUAAGGAUUGACAGACUGAGAGCUCUUUCUUAAUUCGGUGGGUGGUGGUGCAUGGCCGUUCUCAGUCGGUGGAGCGAUUUGUCUGGUUAAUUCCGAUAACGAACGAGACUCUGGCCUAUUAAAUAGACGGUGUAUCUUGAAGUAUACCGCGCUUCUUAGAGGGACAAGCGGCGUCUAGCCGCAUGAAAUAGAGCAAUAACAGGUCUGUGAUGCCCUUAGAUGUCCGGGGCUGCACGCGCGCUACACUGAAAGAAUCAGAGUGCGAUUAGCCUGGUUCGGAAGAAUCGGGUAACCCAAGUAAAUUCUUUCGUGCUUGGGAUAGGGAAUUGCAAUUAUUUCCCUUAAACGAGGAAUUCCCAGUAAAUGCGGGUCAUAAGCUCGCGUUGAUUACGUCCCUGCCCUUUGUACACACCGCCCGUCGCUACUACCGAUUGGAUGACUUAGUGA
rnacentral:rRNA from 1 species